rnacentral:rRNA from 1 species
AGGACUAACGCUGGCGGCGUGCCUAACACAUGCAAGUCGAACGAGGGGUAGCAAUACCCCUAGUGGCAGACGGGUGAGUAACACGUAGUCAACCUACCUCUUAAUGGGGGAUAACUAGCCGAAAGGUUAGCUAAUACCGCAUACGAUCGUCGAGUGGCAUCACACGACGAUGAAAGGAGCAAUCCGUUGAGAGAGGGGACUGCGUCCCAUUAGUUAGUUGGUGGGGUAAUGGCCUACCAAGACUCCGAUGGGUAGCUGGCUUGAGAGAGCGACCAGCCACACUGGAACUGAGACACGGUCCAGACUCCUACGGGAGGCAGCAGUGAGGAAUUUUCCGCAAUGGGGGAAACCCUGACGGAGCGACGCCGCGUGUGGGAAGAAGGCCUUCGGGUCGUAACCACUGUCGAGGGGGACGAUAUUGACGGUACCCCUGGAGGAAGCCCCGGCUAACUACGUGCCAGCAGCCGC